UCCGAAUUGGUGUAGUGGCUAACAUUUGACGCUCUCACUUCCUCCGCAUUCGUGUAGAGAAAUGGCCCGUCAAGCCCGGGGUUCGAUUCCCCGAUUCGGAG